rnacentral:sRNA from 12 species
CCUCCCACACCUCUCAACGAUGUGCACCACGGGAGGU